rnacentral:rRNA from 1 species
CCUACGGGAGGCAGCAGUGAGGAAUAUUGGUCAAUGGGCGGAAGCCUGAACCAGCCAAGUCGCGUGAGGGAUUAAGGCCCUAUGGGUCGUAAACCUCUUUUGUCAGGGAGCAAUGGCGUCCACGUGUGGGCGUAUGGAGAGUACCUGAAGAAAAAGCAUCGGCUAACUCCGUGCCAGCAGCCGCGGUAAUACGGAGGAUGCGAGCGUUAUCCGGAUUUAUUGGGUUUAAAGGGUGCGUAGGCGGGACCUUAAGUCAGCGGUAAAAUUGCGGUGCUCAACGCCGUAGAGCCGUUGAAACUGGGGUUCUUGAGUACAGUAGAGGUGGGCGGAAUUCGUGGUGUAGCGGUGAAAUGCUUAGAUAUCACGAAGAACUCCGAUUGCGAAGGCAGCUCACUGGACUGCAACUGACACUGAGGCUCGAAAGUGUGGGUAUCAAACAGGAUUAGAUACCCUUGUAGUC